UACGAAGGGUGCAAGCGUUACUCGGAAUUACUGGGCGUAAAGCGUGCGUAGGUGGUUUGUUAAGUCUGAUGUGAAAGCCCUGGGCUCAACCUGGGAAUUGCAUUGGAUACUGGCAGGCUAGAGUGCGGUAGAGGGUAGUGGAAUUCCCGGUGUAGCAGUGAAAUGCGUAGAUAUCGGGAGGAACACCUGUGGCGAAAGCGGCUCACUGGACCACAACUGACGCUGAUGCACGAAAGCUAGGGGAGCAAACAGG
rnacentral:rRNA from 1 species